rnacentral:rRNA from 1 species
UACGUAGGGUGCAAGCGUUGUCCGGAAUUAUUGGGCGUAAAGAGCGUGUAGGCGGCCCGAUUAGUCCGCUGUGAAAGUCCAGGGCUCAACCCUGGAAUGCCGGUGGAUACUGUCGGGCUAGAGUCCGGAAGAGGAGAGCGGAAUUCCUGGUGUAGCGGUGGAAUGCGCAGAUAUCAGGAGGAACACCCGUGGCGAAGGCGGCUCUCUGGGACGGUACUGACACUGAGACGCGAAAGCGUGGGGAGCGAACAGG